GCAGGCGCUUUCGCUCUCUUUUUUCUUGCCUCAGUUGCAGUGCGCUGAUGGAGAGGAGGGUGAGCAUGGAGCCGUCCCGACCCGCGUUUCAUGAACGUCUCGCCCCAGUUGGUGUGAGUCGGUCGUUUUAAAGGGCUGUGUGCGAUGGGCCCAGAAAGGCGAGGAGACGAGUGGGGAAUUGCUCUAGCAAAAAAAAAAAAGCGAAACCAGUUGUAUGCAUAGCUUGGUGAAAUCUACUUGACGCCUAUUUUAUUCUAUAAGGAAGGCUGCAUGUGACUCUUUCGAAGAAGCCAGUCAUGAAGAUGCAAAUUUUCCUUGUGUUACAAUGUAAACGUCUGAGACCUUUUUCACUGAAAAGAUGAAGUCAAGUCUAUAUAAGCCACAGUGUGGUUUUCUGAUUACUGUGCACAAUGGGCACAGGCCAUUUGCCUGUGGAAUUGGAAGUGCAGCUUCAAAACAACUGCUGUCUGGGAAAGCUAAGAGGUGGAAAAAGUUGUAAACCAAUUUUGCAUGAAACAAUGAUAUCACCUAAAGAGGAUGGAGCUUCCUUGGAGCCAUGCUAGCUCUUUUGCCACGUUACAAUAGGAAAGAAGUAUAGGGAUCUCUGUUUUGCCUUGGAGAGCUGUAGCUUGCCUCUUCCAUUACGUGGGAUCUCUCUGGCAAGCCAGAGGCAUGAUCAAUCUUCAAGGAUGUACUCCAGCCAGGCAAAAACACUGAAGGAGGGAAGCUUGGAGGAGGGACACAUCCAAUCCCAGGACCUAAGGGUUCCCCACCCCCAUCUCAUGAUGUCACUUCCUCCUGCAACUUCCACUA